UAGGGAAUCUUCCACAAUGGACGCAAGUCUGAUGGAGCAACGCCGCGUGAGUGAAGAAGGGUUUCGGCUCGUAAAGCUCUGUUGUUAAAGAAGAACAUAUCUGAGAGUAACUGUUCAUACGUUGACGGUAUUUAACCAGAAAGUCACGGCUAACUACGUGCCAG
rnacentral:rRNA from 1 species